CCCUAAGAUGAGAUCUCUCAUCCUUCGUGGAGUAAGGGCCCAGGAAGACUACCUGGUUGAUAGGCAGGAGGUGGAAGCGCAGUAAUGUGUGAAGCUGACCUGUACUAAUCGCCCGAGGGCUUGACCUACAA
rnacentral:rRNA from 1 species